rnacentral:misc_RNA from 1 species
GAUGAAGAACGCAGCGAAAUGCGAUAAGUAAUGUGAAUUGCAGAAUUCAGUGAAUCAUCGAAUCUUUGAACGCACCUUGCGCCCUUUGGACAUUCCGAAGGGCAUGCCUGUUUGAGUAUCAUGAACACCUCAACUCUCACGGCUUGUCCGUGAUGAGCUUGGACUUUGGGGGUCUUGCCGGCCUGUGGUCGGCUCCUCUCAAAUGGAUCAGCUUGCCAGUGUUUGGUGGCAUCACAGGUGUGAUAACUAUCUGCGCUUGUGGUUUUCCAUCAGAUAACCUUCAGUGAUAUGGAGGUUCGCUGGAGCUCACAAAUGUCUCUCCUUAGUGAAGACAGCUCUUUGAACGUUUGAUCUCAAAUCAGGUAGGACUACCCGCUGAACUUAAGCAUAUCAAUAAGCGGAGGA